rnacentral:miRNA from 2 species
UAGCACCAUGUAAAUUCAGCA